rnacentral:rRNA from 1 species
UACGAAGGGGGCGAGCGUUAUUCGGAAUCACUGGGCGUAAAGCGUGCGUAGGCCGUCUAGCAAGUUGGAAGUGAAAGCCCAGGGCUCAACCCUGGAACUGCUUUCAAAACUGCAAGACUAGAGUCCGGGAGAGGAUAGCGGAAUUUCCAGUGUAGUAGUGAAAUACGUAGAUAUUGGAAGGAACACCAGUGGCGCAAGCGGCUAUCUGGACCGGUACUGACGCUGAGGCACGAAAGCGUGGGGAUCAAACAGG